GAGGAACGCUGGCGGCGUGCUUAACACAUGCAAGUCGAACGGUGAAGGCGGAGCUUGCUCUGCUGGAUCAGUGGCGAACGGGUGAGUAACACGUGAGCAAUCUGCCCCUGACUCUGGGAUAAGCGCUGGAAACGGCGUCUAAUACUGGAUACGAGCUGCGAAGGCAUCUUCAGCAGCGGGAAAGAAGUGCUGGCAGGGAAGGUCUCGCGGCCGACCAGCUGGUGGGGGAGGGAACGGCUCACCAAGGCGUCGACGGGUAGCCGGCCUGAGAGGGUGACCGGCCACACGGGGACUGAGACACGGCCCAGACUCCUCCGGGCGGCCGCGGGCGGGCGUCUUGCGCCGUCGGCGCGCGCCUGAUGCAGCAACGCCGCGUGAGGGACGACGGCCUUCGGGUUGUACCCCUCUUUUCGCGGGGCUGCGGCGGUCGUGCCGGUCCCUGCUGCGCGCGCGCCGGCUCGCUCCGUG
rnacentral:rRNA from 1 species